AGACCCGAAACCCGGUGAUCUAGCCAUGGGCAGGUUGAAGGUUGGGUAACACUAACUGGAGGACCGAACCGACUAAUGUUGAAAAAUUAGCGGAUGACCUGUGGCUGGGGGUGAAAGGCCAAUCAAACCGGGAGAUAGCUGGUUCUCCCCGAAAGCUAUUUAGGUAGCGCCUCGUGAAUUCAUCUCCGGGGGUAGAGCACUGUUUCGGCUAGGGGGCCAUCCCGGCUUACCAACCCGAUGCAAACUGCGAAUACCGGAGAAUGUUAUCACGGGAGACACACGGCGGGUGCUAACGUCCGUCGUGAAGAGGGAAACAACCCAGACCGCCAGCUAAGGUCCCAAAGUCAUGGUUAAGUGGGAAACGAUGUGGGAAGGCCCAGACAGCCAGGAUGUUGGCUUAGAAGCAGCCAUCAUUUAAAGAAAGCGUAAUAGCUCACUGGUCGAGUCGGCCUGCGCGGAAGAUGUAACGGGGCUAAACCAUGCACCGAAGCUGCGGCAGCGAACGUAUCACCCAAGACAACUUUACGGAGUUGACGAUUGACGGAGCGAAGCGACGUCAAAGCGUUCAUUAAAGUCGAGUUGGCUUAGGGAUACGUUCGUUGGGUAGGGGAGCGUUCUGUAAGCC
rnacentral:rRNA from 4 species